GAUGAAGAACGCAGCGAAAUGCGAUAAGUAAUGUGAAUUGCAGAAUUCAGUGAAUCAUCGAAUCUUUGAACGCACAUUGCGCCCCUUGGUAUUCCGAGGGGCAUGCCUGUUCGAGCGUCAUUAUAACCCCUCAAGCUCAGCUUGGUGUUGGGGCCUGCUGCACUGGCAGCCCUUAAAAUCAGUGGCGGCGCCAUCUGGCUCUAAGCGUAGUAAUUCUUCUCGCUAUGGAGUCCUNGUGGAUGCUUGCCAUCAACCCCCAAUUUUUCUAUGGUUGACCUCGGAUCAGGUAGGGAUACCCGCUGAACUUAAGCAUAUCAAUAAGCGGAGGA
rnacentral:misc_RNA from 1 species